rnacentral:rRNA from 1 species
GAUCCUGGCUCAGGAUGAACGCUAGCGACAGGCUUAACACAUGCAAGUCGAGGGGCAUCAUGAGGUAGCAAUACCUUGAUGGCGACCGGCGCACGGGUGAGUAACGCGUAUGCAACCUGCCUGAUACCGGGGUAUAGCCCAUGGAAACGUGGAUUAACACCCCAUAGUACUUUUAUCCUGCAUGGGAUGUGAGUUAAAUGUUUAAGGUAUCGGAUGGGCAUGCGUCCUAUUAGUUAG